rnacentral:lncRNA from 1 species
AUGCCUCCAGGCAGUAUUCAGCCAGGAAACCUCUGCCUUCUGGGUCCACCCAUUCUCUCAGCUGGAAAAAAAUGGUUGAUGUUUCUGUUUAAACAAGAAGCCCUGAAUCAGCUUCAGAACUGGGGCAGCCCACGAGGGGCAUUUAGCAGGUGCAAUGUCCUGGGCUGCCUUUUGGUGCUGCUUUGGGCAGCAUCUGUGGUGUUCCACCACUGUGAGACCCAGGCACAGCCCUGGGGAGGAGGAGUCUUCUUCCCACUGUCAAUAGCUGGAAUUAAACCUGGUGACUGCAGUGAUCUCUUUCCUCUCUACCAAGUGAGAGUAUGGACAACAGGGUUUGAUCCAACACAAAAAUGGGAGCCAGAUAAAGAGCAGCACUGAGCUAAGUAAUGCCUUACAGGAAUUAGCACAGUGUCUUCUGAAACCUAAAUGUAUGAAAACUGGCUGGCACUGCAGCUUUUGUUCCUGUCAGCAGCAGCAAAAGCAGGAGAGCAUGAAAAAUGUGGUCUCUGAGCAUUUUCAGGUGAGACAAAAUGGGAGAAGAGGUGCCAAACCUCAGGUGUAGAUAAAUGAUUUCUACAGCGGUCAGCUGACAGGCUGGCACUACAGUGUAUUAUAAAUCAUCCUGCCUAUACAUUAAAUACUGGUUUCAGCUGCUCCUGGUGAAAGCAAAAAGUACAAGCUACCUUACCAUGUACAAGAAAGCUUUCAUCCUGCAGUGGAUUAACAAUACAGCACAAUUUAGUUUCCUAUUUUUAAUGUUACUUCGCUCUGAUAUUAUACCAGAAUCUACUGGAAAAGGAAAUAUAAAUCUCUACACUCUAAUGUAUAGUCAAAUAGGAUUUUUGAAUAUGUAAAUUGUAAACUAGGUGGAACUGGAAACUCAUUAGUUCAGUAAAAGGUUGUUUUCAAGUAAUAUUUAAUAGACUCUAACCACUAAUUUUAUCAGCAGGUUAUGCUUGGUACAUCUAUCAGUGGAAUUUAGCAAGGCUGAAUAGGACAAUGUGUCCUGGGUUGACAAGAGCAACAAUGCACUGAAAAAAGAGAAGGUGCAGUUUAUAAACAACUGCUGCCUACAAGGCAGAAGAGAAUAAAACUUCAGUAUGGUCAAUUAAAAUCA